GGACAAAUGAUCUUUCAUUAUGUUGUAAAAGUCAAAUUUUAAUUGCAUCUGUUUUGCAUGAACUUGAUCAUGAAUAGUUUUCCUUUGGUCAACCAUGCUUCUCUAUUGAAAGGGUAAUAUUAGGUUUAAAAGCUUUCUAGGUAUAAUAGCCAAGAGAGUGGCUUGUAUCUAUAACAGACUAAAGGAAUUGACCUACUUCUAGAAUGUGGCCUCAAGGUUUGGAAAGGCAAAACUAUCAUCAUCAUUGGUGGUAGUAGCUGCAGGACAUUAAGCACUGCCAUCAUUAUGAUAUAUGAAACCAUAUACCAAGAAGAUUGGAAGAAAAAGUAUUUCCAACAAAUGGAUGAAGAGAUGGCCUAGGAAUAGAGGCAAUAGAAAAUUUUGGCUGGAAUAGUUAAGGAAUCAGACCGUUGAGAGUGAUUCAUGGUGAAAGCCAAAAUUUAACUUCUUCUAGGAGCAAGAUGGCUUUGAUACCAUAUGAAGGUUAUGAAUGAAUGAGCUCUCAAUGCGUUGGUUAAUUGUAUAAUGUUAAAUUAUUUGGGCAUACAAAGGUAUGGUAAACUCAAUUCUACCGAUAGAGUACAACUUAAGUACAAGAGAUAAGUGGUAUAUUGAAACUUAUCAUAUCCUAGUAGUUGAAGAGGUUAUGUACUUCCGUGUAAACAGUCUCAUGGGUGUAAGUUUCAACUUAGUGGAACUUUUUAUUUUCAAUUUUAUUGCAGAG
rnacentral:lncRNA from 1 species